GAUGAACGCUGGCGGCGUGCCUAACACAUGCAAGUCGAGCGAUUUACUUCGGUAAAGAGCGGCGGACGGGUGAGUAACGCGUGGGUAACCUGCCCUGUACACACGGAUAACAUACCGAAAGGUAUGCUAAUACGAGAUAAUAUACUUUUAUCGCAUGGUAGAAGUAUCAAAGCUCCGGCGGUACAGGAUGGACCCGCGUCCGAUUAGCUAGUUGGUAAGGUAACGGCUUACCAAGGCGACGAUCAGUAGCCGACCUGAGAGGGUGAUCGGCCACAUUGGAACUGAGACACGGUCCAAACUCCUACGGGAGGCAGCAGUGGGGAAUAUUGCACAAUGGGCGAAAGCCUGAUGCAGCAACGCCGCGUGAGCGAUGAAGGCCUUCGGGUCGUAAAGCUCUGUCCUCAAGGAAGAUAAUGACGGUACUUGAGGAGGAAGCCCCGGCUAACUACGUGCCAGCAGCCGCGGUAA
rnacentral:rRNA from 1 species